rnacentral:rRNA from 1 species
UACGUAGGGCGCAAGCGUUAUCCGGAAUUAUUGGGCGUAAAGAGCUCGUAGGCGGUUUGUCGCGUCUGCUGUGAAAGACCGGGGCUCAACUCCGGUUCUGCAGUGGGUACGGGCAGACUAGAGUGAUGUAGGGGAGACUGGAAUUCCUGGUGUAGCGGUGAAAUGCGCAGAUAUCAGGAGGAACACCGGUGGCGAAGGCGGGUCUCUGGUACGUGACUGACGCUGAGACGCGAAAGCCAGGGGAGCAAACGGG